AAAACAUAAAGCAUCUGAAGUAUUUAUUUCUCCUUCGCCUUCUUCCUUCUCCACCGCUCAGCACUUCAAUAACCACUUCCCUUCCACCUUUACAAACACUCUAGUACACUCUAUGACUAAAUCUCUGGCACGGCAUAAAGAACAUCUCUCUCUAUAUAUUAUGUACUCUAUGUAACAUGGAGAUAGAUGGAUAGAUAGAUAAAGAUAGAUAAGGUGAGGUAAGGUGAGGUAAGGUACAGUAAAGUAAGGUUAGGUAAGGUAAGGUAAGGUUAUGUGAGUUAAGGUUAGGUAAGGUGAGGUAGGGUACAGUAAAGUAAGGUUAGGUAAGGUAAGGUUAGGUAAGGUAAGGUUAGGUAAGCUUAGGUAAGGUACAGUAAAGUAAGGUUAGGAGAGGAAAGGAGAGGAGAGGAGAAAGGAAAUGAGAGACAGGAGCGAGGAAAAAGAGAUGAACAUAUAACUGAGGAGAGGAGAGGAGGAGAGGAGAGGAAAAAAGAGAAGAGGAUAGAAGAGGAAAAGAGGAGUGGAGACGAGUGGAUAGGAGAUAAUAAGAGAUACAGGAAAUAGAGAUAUACAUACAACUGACAGACAAAGAGAAAGAGAGACAGACAAACAGAAAAAUCAACAUAGCAAGACACGGACGGAUCAUAAACCUCUCAAUAUAGUCUAUACGAAUAAUAAUAAUCAUCAUAAUAAUCAUAAUACUCCAUAACAUUCAUUUCCUAUAACACGUAGUACAGUACAUGGUAACAUAUCACAAGCUGCACCACACGACAGCAGGCGGAGGACAGCUAAUUAGAACUCCUCUCAGGUGUAUAUACAGGUGUGUGAGGGAGGGAAGGGGAGGAAGAAGGGAGGGUGGGGGGCUGCUGGACAUGGGUGGGUGGGUGGGUUGGACAUGGGUGAUUGGACAUGGGGAGGUGGGUUGGACAUGGGUGAUUGGACAUGGGGAGGUGGGUUGGACAUGGGUGAUUGGACAUGGGGAGGUGGGCUAGACAUGUGUUGGUGGGUUGGUUGGGCAUAGAUGGGUGGGUGGGUUGGACAUGGGUGAUUAGACAUGGAUAGGUGGGUUAGACAUGUGUUGAUGGGUUGGUUGGGCAUAGAUGGGUGGGUGGGUUGGACAUGGGUAGGUGGAUUGGACAUGGGUGGAUAGGUGAGUGGGUGGCUACGUCGAUGAGAUGGUCUUAGGAUUUCUUUCCCACAUGUUACCUUUUCAAUUGAGAGCCGGUGGAUUUACAAUGGUGAAAGUGGAAGGAGAGAUUUAAGUGACGAGGUCGGGUGAGUGGAAAAUAAGUGGAAGACUGUAUAUUUGAGUGGACAGUUAAGUGGAUGAGAAAUAGAGGUAAGUGGGUGAGAGGUAGAGGAUGAUAGGAAAGAUUGAGGAUGAAUAAGUAAGUGGAUGAAGGAUGAGCGUGUGUGAGUGAGUGGAAGGUGGAUGAGUUUACAAGUGUGUGGAGUACUGAAUGGGUGAAGACUGGUGUGGGUGAACGGAAGAUGGUUGAACGGAAGGUGUGUGUGUGUGU